ensembl:snRNA LOC120097668 U7 small nuclear RNA
GAGUGAAUACAGCUCUUUUAGAAUUUUUUCCUGGUUUUUUAUUUUGAUUGGAAAAGCCCAA